rnacentral:misc_RNA from 1 species
AAGACUAUAGACCUGCGGAGUACCUGCGGAGGGAUCAUUACCGAGUAUCGGGUGCUCUCGCGCCCUACUCCCACCCUAUGCUUAUCUAUAACUGUUGCUUUGGCGGGCCGGUGGGUCACUCACCGCCGGGCGGCGCCUGGAGAGCGCCCGCCAGAGGACCAAGCAAAACUCUUUAGUCAACAUGUCGCAUCUGAGCACGCGAGAAUGAACAAAACUUUUAACAACGGAUCUCUAGAUCGG